GCCGGGUCCAGUAACGCGGACUUGUGACUCAUGUGGGGGCAUCAAGGUGGUCGAAGGUUGGAAUGACUGAAGAGGUAGGGUGCUGCAGGGGUUUGAUAGCUGGCUUGCCCGUUCCAAGAGGGGAGUUGAGCCCUGUGACCCGAUCGAAGGAUUGGGUGGCAUGGUUCCUAAAGCGAGGAGGGCACCGCGUGAGGCUGGCUUCACAGAGCAGCGUUCACCUCCCGCUCUCUUCGGUGGAAGGAUAACGAGCCAGUACUCCACAGGCCCAACGACGCCUCCUCAGCCGCUCUCAACCCAACAACCACCUUU
rnacentral:SRP_RNA from 1 species